GUUAAACCUCAGAUAAAGAAAUUCUGGAAUUUCAACAUGGUAAAGGGUUCAGAGGCUGCAUCUCACUUUCAACACAUAUGAUGCAGUUGAUUUGGAUGAUCGUUUGACAGUUGUAGAAUAGUCAGUUGCCAUCCUAGCCAGAGAUGUGAGGGAAUUGCGCUCGAGAGUCAUUCCUAUUGUUAAGGUCCGUUGGAGGCAUCGUUCAGUCAAGGAGGCUACCUGGGAGACCGAGCAGGAGAUGCAAGAGCAGUUUCUCGGCUUGUUUGAGCCUUCAGAUUAUAGUUAUUGGCUUCGACCAAGGAAAGGAAAGGAGAUACUUAGUUCGGGAGCAGUUGAAAGGUACUUUCGUCGUCAAUGGAAAAUAGUAAAGGAAAGGCUAAUUCGCUUGGGUGCAGUUGAAGAAGAAAAACACUAGUUUCAAAGACUCGGAAAAAAGCUCAUUAGAAAAGCUUGGUUCAUUAUCAGUUCCUUCCAACCCUCUCCAAGUGUACCAUAAAAGACGUAACAAGUGUGAAAAAGUUGAGCCAUUCAUUGAAGGGCAUAACAAGCCUGUCCAGACAAAUGUUUUACUACGAAUGUUGUUCCACUUGCAUCUUUUCUGUUUCUAAUCCAAACUAUGCUACAAACUAUACAUUGUAGGUGUACAAUCGACGAUUUAAAAAUAAUCAGAUACAUAACAACUGCAAAACAGUUUUACCAGAUUUUCAGGAAUUGCAGAACAUGAAGCGGAAAACAUCAAAAGUUUCUACUACCUAAGGAUAGUCCAGGGAAGGCUGCCAGCCUUUGCGUUCACAAGAAACCAAGGCUUCAAGCAUCUAGCAGUAAAAAUGGACUCAUAGUGAAACAUAAAAGAAUUCUGAAAUCAAUCACAAGAAGAAAGAUGCACAAGUUUCAAACGAUGAAACACCUAGUGACAGAGAAAAUGAUCUUGAGAACAAAAGUAAUCCUUGAUGAGAAGGCAAUACAAGAAUGGAAAUCUCUGAUAGGAAAACCGGAACAUGAAGGCUGCAAAUCUGAAAAAUGUGAUGAAAGAUGGGAAAUAGAGAGGACAUUGUUCCACGGACGGGUGUUAUCAUUCAUUUUUCGCAUGCAUCUUAUCCAAGGUAAUAAACAGUUCUCACAGUGGAAAGGUUCAAUUGUAGAUUCUGUGGCUGGGGUUUUCCUGGCUCAAAAUGUCACUGACAAAGUAUCAAGCUCUGUUUUCAUGUCCCUUGCCGCUCAAUAUCCUUAUAAUGAAGUCAGUUUCAAAUCAACAUUCCACAAUGGAAAUGGAAAAAACAAGCUGGAGAAAUCUAACAAAGGAAGCUCUAAUAUUAAGAACUAGGGGAUAAUCUGAAGAACAAAUCUGAAAGGGGGGAAGAAGAAAAAGGAGACAAGAAAUCAGCAAUCUGAACCAAUCUUAAGAUGGAAAAGUCAAAAUGCAGACAUGGAAAGUGACGCCAUUACAAGGGAAAAUAUAAGGAAGCUCUCUUCCUUCGUAAAUCCCAAAGAGAUUAAUGAUAGCACGUUAGAUGCCAUAGAUUGGCAUGCAGUCCACGAUGCAACAACGGAUCAAGUAUCAAAAGCUAUCAAUCAAAGGGGAAUGGACAAAAAGCUUGCAGAAAGAAUUAAGAAUUUUAUCAAGUGCCUUCUCCUGGAACAAGAGAAUGUGGAUCUAGAAUGGCUACGAGAACUUGAACCAGAAAAGGCUAAGGAGUUAUUGCUGAGCAUUUAUGGUGUGGGAGUGAAAAGUGUGGAAUGCAUAACGUUGCUAACUCUCCAGCACCAAGCCUUCCCAGUACGUUCAUAUUGCCACUUAAGGAUAGUUCUUCGUUCUCUUUGAAAUCACUGCAAUGACCUUCUCUCGGAACAUUCAGAAACUAAAUCAUGUUGAUAGGAAUAUGUAGAAACAGUACAAUUCCUAAGUAAACCUAUCGAACAUUAAUGCAGUGCAAGACUUCCCCUGACGGGGCCAGGAGAAAACAGCUGUGCAAACGUCAAUACGGCUUUAGUACCUGUAGAUAGUGCAUACUCAUGUACUGAAAGCUCUCAAGAAAAUCUUGUUUCUUCUUUCGGGGAAGCCUCAAAAUCACAACAUUCGACGGGAGAUCACCAGAAUAAGCUUAUCACCUAUCCAGCUCUUGGGUGUAUUGGAGAAAUAGACAUUGAAGAUUAUUCUGCCAGUGGCAUACCUACCAUCACAUUUGAUUGUCAGGCAUUCAUGGAAAAUUUGUUAAGUUACAUAGACGAGAAUGACCUCUCAACAAAAGACACUGAUUUGUCUAAUGCUUUGGUCGUUGCCACUCUAGAAGCACCUUUGCCUAAAUUGAAGCAUAACGGUCGGUUAAGGAUGGAGCAUCAAGUGUAAGUUUUGCAAUAAGUUUUAUUUAACUUCACUGUUAAAUUGGCAUUACAUGGAAAAGCUAUGUGUGCACAUUAAGAAUCUUAUUAUUGAGAUGACAAAUGGAUAUAAGAAAUAUUUCUGCGAGAGAGAUGUUAUAUCGGACGAAGUUUCGUGCAAUAAAGGGGAUGCACAUUCCAAAAGAUAACGAAGAAAAUGGUGAAGUGUUGUAAUAACUGCUCAUUAACAUUUGUUUUUCCUACGCGCUGCAGCUAUGAACUUCCAGAUUCACAUCCUUUGUUAGAAGGGCUACAGAAACGAGAACUGGAAGACACUUGCCCAUAUCUACUUGCUAUAAGGACACCAGGAAAUGUAGCUUCCGAAUAAGAGAAGUAUGAAUCCUGCAAUUGCGAUGAAACUCAAAGCAAGGUUGAUGCGUCGAAUAUAGGCGUAGGAAGCAAUAUUAAGACUGUUAGUGGGAUUCUUCUGAUCCCGUGUCGAAUAACAAAUAAGGGGAAAUUUCCACUCAACGGAACAUACUUCCAAGUAAAUGAGGUUUUUGCAGAUGAAGAAUCUACUCAAAAGCCAAUCGAAGUUCCAAGGGCAUCGAUAUGGAAUUUGCCAAGAAAGACCCUAUACGGUGGCACCUCCAUCAGAGGAAUAUUUAGGGGGAUGUCAACAAAAGAAGUACAAAAUUGCUUUUGGAGAGGAUAUGUAUGUCUGAGAGAGUUUAACCACGAAACAUGAAUGGCUGGAUCUCUCCCCCUUGACCUUCAUCGUCCAAUAAGCAAACCAGGAAAAGGAAAAAGGUCUUGAAGAGAUUGUACAUUUUCUGCUUGGAUUAAACACUCUUAUCUGUGUCAUUUUUUGUCUUUGUUUUUGUAAAUUACACCACCUGGAUGUCCAAUUACUGCUUCAAUAUUUACUAAGAAUAUUAUGUUUUCUGUAAUCUUUAACAUUCCAU